CGUGAUCGUAGUCCACCAAUCAACGCAAGCGCAAGCGGAGCUAUUCCAUGGCGGUCGGAGGUCGUCGCUUAUUAUCGAAAGGAGUGGACUCCUCAUUCCACUCAUCUUCUAUGAGGAUCACAUCAUGAAGACGGCACGCAGGGACGUCCGCCGGCCAAGUCCAUGCGGCGGUCGGUUCUCCGAAAGCCCUUUGAGAGUGACUGUUGAUGCUGAAAUGUGAAACGAUGUACGACCAUUCUCCAGCCCUUACAACGAUAAAAAAGCACGAUGCUGCCUUGUGUAACGGAAACAGACCCCUAUUUUUGGACUGUCACAGAACAGCGUUUUCUCCGGAAUAUCGCUGAUUUGGAUUUUGGACUGACGCAGAUCGAGUGAUCAGCAGUGUCAGGACAGACAUUCAAAUACAAUCUUUUAUUUUUGCUGGCAUACUUUUUACACAAAGUAAUAUAUAAUUUGUUAAUUAAGAACAUGUAAUUCGUUUUGGAAAAUCUGCAAUAUUUGAA